AGACCCGUCGUCUAGUGGCCAAGGACAUCAGCCUCUGGAGCUGAGGACACCGGUUCGAAUCCGGUCGGGUCUA
rnacentral:tRNA from 1 species